GCAACUUGUCUCUCUAUUCCUUCUACCAUAGUAGUAAUGCAUUAUGUAUCAUAUAUCAAUAAAUCCAGCCUUCUGAUCAUGAACCAAGAUUCUCGUCUCUCUCUCACCCUGAAGUCCCUCAUCAGGUCGCUGUAAUAGCCUAGUGAGUUCCUUUUAUAAGACGUGAGUUCCUGACACAAUUAGACUUAUACUUACCCCGUCCCCCGCAUAUUGGUGCCCCGUGUGAGGAGACCCCUGUCCGAGGACGUAGAACAGAAGAAAAAAAAAAAGAAAAAUCGCGGAAGUACCAGCCACAGAGACCCAAGUGUUAACAAGGAGGACACUGUAUCAUCUCUCCCGCGGAAGCCAAGAAAAUUGUGCUAGAAUUGAGUUCCUGCCAAAAACGUCAAACCAUAUUGCACUUCAGAACCUGUUGUCAAGUCCAAAACCAAAGAAGCAAGUACGCAGACGUGAACCGAAUUGAAAGAUCCCGAGUCUUGCCUGACGCCUCUUGUGCCUGACGUUCUUUGUGCAUCAGUAGAACCCAUGAACUCUGAUUUUGUGCCAAUGUUAUUUAUAAGUAUGCUAGUUAAAUGCUAAAUAGUUGUUUAACAAAGCUAAUUUUUAGCUGAAAAUUUAAGUUAUUGUUUUUGUUUAGAAAGAAUUCUGCCAAAACUUAGUUCUUGAAAGAGAUAGAGCAGAAUCAAAUGGUAUACUUGUUUUGUUUGAUUUUAAUUGUUUUUUGUCGUGCAAAUUUGCCUGUAGAUAAACCAAAAACGAAUGUUUGGGUGACCUUAGCCAAGGCUGCCAGAUCAGAUACUAUAUGUCUGUCUAAUUCAGAACCAGAAAAGCCUUUUUCAACCUGUUUGGUUGGUGUGCCAGUGAAAGAGUUGCCUUUAGUCAAAAAACAAUCUAAUGGUAAACCAAGUAGAAUUGACAAUAGAAACAGUCCUUCCUUCAAUUAGAACAUUUAGUCCAAAAAACUUCUCAGGGCAGCAUCUGAACCUCAAGAAUUAGAAAUCCUUAGUUCUUUGACCAUAAAUUUUUGCUUUACUUUCAUGACUCAUACCUAGCGAAAAGGUGAUCCCCCAAAGUUCAGUGUUAUUCCUCAUUAUUUUGCAUAUAAAAAUUUGAGUUUUUAGUGUAAUGUUUCAAACAGUUAAGAUGUGUUUCCAGAGACAGAUCAAUAUCCACAGCAUUUACCAAAAGAGUAUUAGUUCAUUUGCAGAGACAGAGCUUAGCAAAGCAUUCCAGCCCACCUUGAAAGUGGCCCUUGUAGCAUUGGUAUGCUCACCAUAAUUGCCCCCACUGCCAAAGCAGUGAUGAAAAAAAAACAAAGAAAAACAAGAGCUGUUCCUCAUUAUGAUGAGAACUGUCAGAGUGAUUUUAUGCCUUAGAAUGCCGCCAAAAAAGUUUCAGCAGGUAUAUUUUUACCCCAAUUGGCUUCAGCUGUAGCAUUGAGACAAUUAGAUCGAGUUAGAUGUUAGCUGAGCAAACAAGCUAAUGCCACAUCCUCCGCAAUCAGUGAUAUGUUGACCGAUGUUGAUAGUAUUAGACAUGCUACUCUUCAAAACAGAGCAGCCAUUAAUUUUCUUUUACUGGCACAAAGACAUAGUUGUGAAGAAUUUGAAAAAUUGUGUUGUAUGAAUUUGUCUGAUCAUUCUGAAUCAAUUCACAAAAGCAUUCAAAAAUUAAAAGAUCUGACAGCCCAAAUUAAAGAAGAUGAAAGUUCCUAGUUAGAUGAUUUGUAUCAAAAUUAGAGUUUUGCACCUUAGCUAAAGCAACUUUGCAAGAUAAGCCUUUACAUAUUAAGUGUUCUAAUACUGAUAUUGAUAGUAGUACCUUGUAUACUCUUCUUGUGUUCAGCGAAUAAUGAACAAAACAGUCCGAGAAGUUUUUGUCAUUCAAGCAAGAGAAUUAAGAAUUAGAAGCACAGAGAGUGUACAAAAUCUCACAAAAGCAGUAGAUUAAAGUAUUGACAUGAACAAAAGUUUUGAAUUAAAGCCUUAGAAUCGACCAGAGUUUUUCAAACGAUAACUUGUGACUGUUGGCAAAUGUGAUUCAUAUCUCUUUCAGAGAUUGAGUCUUCACAGCAUUAAGUUGCUGUGCCGUAAUAUAGCAAUGCUUCAAUUUAGUGAAAAUAAGUCUUCAACAGAUAAUAAGCAGAAAUUUUGCAAUAGAGCUAUGAAACGCAAGUAGCAAGUGACAAAAAAAUGAAAACUUCUGAGUCAAACAGAGAGGGGGAAAUGUUAAAAUCCAUAAGGUUAGAAGAUUUUUAAGAAAUGGUUAAAAGAAGCAUGUAGGCCUUAGAUUGGAGUUUUGUUAGCAUUGCAGAAAAGUUUCCCAUGCAAGCAGAGAAGUUUCCCAAGCAGUAGAGCAUACGUGACAAAUAACAAUAAGCCUCUGUAGAAUUGGCUUUAAGAUGGCAACAAGGUUAUUUAAUGUAUAUCUUUAGAAGGUUAGCAUGAAUAGAACUUUGUUCUUUGUCUCUUAUGAAUUAGUCUUUGUUUUAACUAUCAUUGCAUGUGCUUUGUGGGAUUAGAUAGAAUGCUUGUCAAUACGUGUUUUCUGUGUCUGAUUGGCUGAAUUCUAGUCUGAGACGAUUUUAUGUAUUUCUGUACCAGCCCUGCUGGAGGAGACAUUUUUUUGGUGUAGAUCAGUGAGCUGUCAUGUCUCCAUUUUGUAUUUUGAAACUGAUGUGCUAGAAAUAAAAGCAAAAAUCUCUUCACUAAUCUAGUUACAAUGUUAUCCAUAUUUAGAUAUUUUGCCGCAGCCUAGUGAGUUCCUUUUUUAAGACGUAAGUUCCUCACACAAUUAGACUUAUACUUACCCCAUCCCCCGUAUUCUGAACUCCUAUUUGGAUCCACUCUUGAUAUUUCCAUAAUUUCCUCAUAUCACAAAAUAAAUUAGGGCCCCAAUUUGGAUCCUCAAUUGGGAAAUUCACAUCUAAAUUCCCUGUUACUAGCCCAUUUCUGAUAUCCUCUCUUGCUCUCUCUUUGGCUGCCUUAAGUACCAUCUCUUUCUCAGUAGAAUCCAUCAAAGUAUCUGAUAUUAUUUGUAUGUCAUCCAAGUCAGGAUUUGAGUUUUUAUAACCAUUUUUACUACUCGUGCCAUUUUAUCAGGAUUUUCUCUAUAAGUUCCGACUGACUGUUUCCAAAUAACUAAAUCUGCAGGGGAAAAAGGCACUUUUACAAAUACUGGCCCUUCCCCUGCUACACCUUGCUGCAAGGAGGCAACCACAGUCCGUUUUUGUCUGCCUUUAUCUUUUUUAAAUCAACUCCUGGUUUUGUGGGCUAUUGGGGUCACUGAUUCAUUACCAUUGCUAUCUGUUUCUCUUGCAUCC